rnacentral:rRNA from 1 species
AUGUCCCUCCGCAUCGGUAAAAAUCCGAUUUUCCCCCUCCGGCUCUUCGAUCUGCAGCGGUCAUGCUCAGUCUGCGGCGGAGACUACCAAUACGGCGCGACAGAGCUACUUCUGCCGGUCGCCUGCACGGGGCUGCUGCUGCUUGUCGUCAGGCAUAUGAUGUGCACCCUUGGUCGCCCGGUCCGACGAACUGCUAACGAAACAACGCCCAACGUCAUGAGUGUGCUCACGUUCUGCAAUCAAGCAACCGCCCUUCUCCGUUCUCCUCCAGCAAGAGUGCAGAGGAGGAGCAGCAACAACAACACGGGCACGGGAGAAGCAGGCGACAGGGGAGAAUCACGGGAGACAGCAGAGCUCCACCAGCAGGAGCUCGAGGAGAAGCAGCAGUGGGAGCUCGGGAAGAAGCAGCAACCGGAGCUCAAGGAGAAGCAAUAG